rnacentral:rRNA from 1 species
UGGCUCAGAACGAACGCUGGCGGCGCGCCUAACACAUGCAAGUCGAACGAGAAAGCAGGGGCAACCCUGUGAGUACAGUGGCGUACGGGUGAGUAACACGUGGGUGAUCUACCCUUUAGUGUGGAAUAACGCUGGGAAACCGGUGCUAAUACCGCAUAAUCUCGAGAGAGGAAAGCAGCAAUGCGCUGAAGGAGGAGCCCGCGGCCGAUUAGCCAGUUGGUGAGGUAAAAGCUCACCAAGGCCAAGAUCGGUAGCCGGCCUGAGAGGGCACACGGCCACACUGUCACUGAAACACGGGCACAGACUCCUACGGGAUCCAGCAGUG